rnacentral:rRNA from 1 species
AAUAGAUACCCAGGUAGUCCACGCCGUAAACGAUGAGUACUAGUUAUUGGAGGUAUUGACUCCUUCAGUGACGCAGCUAACGCAUUAAGUACUCCGCCUGGGAAGUACGGUCGCAAGACUAAAACUCAAACAAAUUGACGGGGGCCCGCACAAGCGGUGGAUUAUGUGGUUUAAUUCGAAGCAACGCGCAGAACCUUACCUAGGCUUGAACUCCUACGAAUCCGGGGUAAUGCCUGGAGUGUCCGCAAGGAAAUGUAGUGAGAGGUGCUGCAUGGCUGUCGUCAGCUCGUGUUGUGAAAUGUUGGGUUAAGUCUCGCAACGAGCGCAACCCCUAUCGUCUGUUGCCAGCAUUAAGUUGGGCACUCUGACGAGACUGCCUGGGUUAACCAGGAGGAAGGUGGGGAUGACGUCAAGUCCUCAUGGCCCUUAUGUCUAGGGCUACACACGUAAUACAAUGGCGCGUACAAAAGGAAGCGAACUCGCAAGGGGAAGCAAAUCUCAAAAAGCGCGCCUCAGUUCGGAUUGGAGU